rnacentral:lncRNA from 1 species
AAGGACCACGAACUGUGUGUCUUUAAACACACUGCAAACACAUAUAACACAUACUCAAAUACAAUUCAUACGGAAAAUUCAACAAGUCAUACUUCGAAUAUGCACUACCCAAACUGACAAUAUGCAAAUCUCUAACGCAAUAACACCUAAACAAACUCAAAUCGCAUAGAAGGAAUCAAGGAAUCACAUUAUACAGUUUCUAUAAUGACAAUGGGCAAACCCCCAAUCGCUGAUAAACAUGACCAAAUCAAAUUCGCAUUAAAAAAAAAAAAGACACCAACACCACUGCCAUUAUGUAUUUUCAUCUUCUAGUAAUAGACAACCCAUAGUCGGACGUAUAUAUGAACAUAUUUAAUUCGCGC